rnacentral:rRNA from 1 species
UACGUAGGGUGCGAGCGUUAAUCGGAAUUACUGGGCGUAAAGCGUGCGUAGGCGGUUCGUUAAGUCAGCUGUGAAAGCCCCGGGCUCAACCUGGGAAUUGCAUUCGAGACUGAAUAGCUAGGGUACGGUAGAGGGAAGCGGAAUUUCCGGUGUAGCGGUGAAAUGCGUAGAUAUCGGAAGGAACAUCAGUGGCGAAAGCGGCUUCC